rnacentral:rRNA from 1 species
AGGUCACACCCGUUCCCAUCCCGAACACGGCAGUUAAGCUCUCCAGGGCCGAUGAUACUGCGUGGGCAACUGCGUGGGAGAGUAGGACGCCGCGGGAA